AAGGACGUUACUAACGACGAUAUGCUUUGGGGAGCUGUAAGUAAGCUUUGAUCCAGAGAUUUCCGAAUGGGGAAACCCAGCAUGAGUUAUGUCAUGUUAUCGAUAUGUGAAUACAUAGCAUAUCAGAAGGCACACCCGGAGAACUGAAACAUCUUAGUACCCGGAGGAAGAGAAAGAAAAUUCGAUUCCCUUAGUAGCGGCGAGCGAAACGGGAAGAGCCCAAACCAACAAGCUUGCUUGUUGGGGUUGUAGGACACUCUAUACGGAGUUACAAAGGACGACAUUAGACGAAUCAUCUGGAAAGAUGAAUCAAAGAAGGUAAUAAUCCUGUAGUCGAAAAUGUUGUCUCUCUUGAGUGGAUCCUGAGUACGACGGAGCACGUGAAAUUCCGUCGGAAUCUGGGAGGACCAUCUCCUAAGGCUAAAUACUCUCUAGUGACCGAUAGUGAACCAGUACCGUGAGGGAAAGGUGAAAAGCACCCCGGAAGGGGAGUGAAAUAGAACCUGAAACCGUGUGCUUACAAGUAGUCAGAGCCCGUUAAUGGGUGAUGGCGUGCCUUUUGUAGAAUGAACCGGCGAGUUACGAUUUGAUGCAAGGUUAAGCAGUAAAUGUGGAGCCGUAGCGAAAGCGAGUCUGAAUAGGGCGUUUAGUAUUUGGUCGUAGACCCGAAACCAGGUGAUCUACCCUUGGUCAGGUUGAAGUUCAGGUAACACUGAAUGGAGGACCGAACCGACUUACGUUGAAAAGUGAGCGGAUGAACUGAGGGUAGCGGAGAAAUUCCAAUCGAACCUGGAGAUAGCUGGUUCUCUCCGAAAUAGCUUUAGGGCUAGCCUCAAGUGAUGAUUAUUGGAGGUAGAGCACUGUUUGGACGAGGGGCCCCUCUCGGGUUACCGAAUUCAGACAAACUCCGAAUGCCAAUUAAUUUAACUUGGGAGUCAGAACAUGGGUGAUAAGGUCCGUGUUCGAAAGGGAAACAGCCCAGACCACCAGCUAAGGUCCCAAAAUAUAUGUUAAGUGGAAAAGGAUGUGGCGUUGCCCAGACAACUAGGAUGUUGGCUUAGAAGCAGCCAUCAUUUAAAGAGUGCGUAAUAGCUCACUAGUCGAGUGACACUGCGCCGAAAAUGUACCGGGGCUAAACAUAUUACCGAAGCUGUGGAUUGUCCUUUGGACAAUGGUAGGAGAGCGUUCUAAGGGCGUUGAAGCAUGAUCGUAAGGACAUGUGGAGCGCUUAGAAGUGAGAAUGCCGGUGUGAGUAGCGAAAGACGGGUGAGAAUCCCGUCCACCGAUUGACUAAGGUUUCCAGAGGAAGGCUCGUCCGCUCUGGGUUAGUCGGGUCCUAAGCUGAGGCCGACAGGCGUAGGCGAUGGAUAACAGGUUGAUAUUCCUGUACCACCUAUAAUCGUUUUAAUCGAUGGGGGGACGCAGUAGGAUAGGCGAAGCGUGCGAUUGGAUUGCACGUCUAAGCAGUAAGGCUGAGUAUUAGGCAAAUCCGGUACUCGUUAAGGCUGAGCUGUGAUGGGGAGAAGACAUUGUGUCUUCGAGUCGUUGAUUUCACACUGCCGAGAAAAGCCUCUAGAUAGAAAAUAGGUGCCCGUACCGCAAACCGACACAGGUAGUCAAGAUGAGAAUUCUAAGGUGAGCGAGCGAACUCUCGUUAAGGAACUCGGCAAAAUGACCCCGUAACUUCGGGAGAAGGGGUGCUCUUUAGGGUUAACGCCCAGAAGAGCCGCAGUGAAUAGGCCCAAGCGACUGUUUAUCAAAAACACAGGUCUCUGCUAAACCGUAAGGUGAUGUAUAGGGGCUGACGCCUGCCCGGUGCUGGAAGGUUAAGAGGAGUGGUUAGCUUCUGCGAAGCUACGAAUCGAAGCCCCAGUAAACGGCGGCCGUAACUAUAACGGUCCUAAGGUAGCGAAAUUCCUUGUCGGGUAAGUUCCGACCCGCACGAAAGGCGUAACGAUUUGGGCACUGUCUCAACGAGAGACUCGGUGAAAUCAUAGUACCUGUGAAGAUGCAGGUUACCCGCGACAGGACGGAAAGACCCCGUGGAGCUUUACUGUAGCCUGAUAUUGAAAUUCGGCACAGCUUGUACAGGAUAGGUAGGAGCCUUUGAAACGUGAGCGCUAGCUUACGUGGAGGCGCUGGUGGGAUACUACCCUAGCUGUGUUGGCUUUCUAACCCGCACCACUUAUCGUGGUGGGAGACAGUGUCAGGCGGGCAGUUUGACUGGGGCGGUCGCCUCCUAAAAGGUAACGGAGGCGCUCAAAGGUUCCCUCAGAAUGGUUGGAAAUCAUUCAUAGAGUGUAAAGGCAUAAGGGAGCUUGACUGCGAGACCUACAAGUCGAGCAGGGUCGAAAGACGGACUUAGUGAUCCGGUGGUUCCGCAUGGAAGGGCCAUCGCUCAACGGAUAAAAGCUACCCCGGGGAUAACAGGCUUAUCUCCCCCAAGAGUUCACAUCGACGGGGAGGUUUGGCACCUCGAUGUCGGCUCAUCGCAUCCUGGGGCUGUAGUCGGUCCCAAGGGUUGGGCUGUUCGCCCAUUAAAGCGGUACGCGAGCUGGGUUCAGAACGUCGUGAGACAGUUCGGUCCCUAUCCGUCGUGGGCGUAGGAAAUUUGAGAGGAGCUGUCCUUAGUACGAGAGGACCGGGAUGGACAUACCUCUGGUGUACCAGUUGUCGUGCCAACGGCAUAGCUGGGUAGCUAUGUGUGGACGGGAUAAGUGCUGAAAGCAUCUAAGCAUGAAGCCCCCCUCAAGAUGAGAUUUCCCAACUUCGGUUAUAAGAUCCCU
rnacentral:rRNA from 1 species